rnacentral:rRNA from 1 species
UACGAAGGGUGCAAACGUUGCUCGGAAUUAUUGGGCGUAAAGCGCACGUAGGCGGCUUUGUAAGUUGGAUGUGAAAUCCCUCGGCUCAACCAAGGAAGUGCAUCCAAAACUACAAAGCUUGAGUACUUAAGAGGAUCGCGGAAUUCCCGGUGUAGAGGUGAAAUGCGUAGAUAUCGGGAGGAACACCAGUGGCGAAGGCGACUACCUGGCCCAUUCUUGACGCUGAGGCGCGAAAAGCUAGGGGGAGCGAACGGGG